rfam:Aedes aegypti strain Liverpool supercont1.42 genomic scaffold, whole genome shotgun sequence.
UACCCAGCAACUUUUAUCCCUACCUCCUUGUGGUACUGGCCGGGGUACGAGUAACCUUGGGGAAGA